GUCCACGCCGUAAACGAUGCCGACUAGCCGUUGGGCCCUUUCGGGGGCUUAGUGGCGCAGCUAACGCGGUAAGUCGGCCGCCUGGGGAGUACGGCCGCAAGGUUAAAACUCAAAUGAAUUGACGGGGGCCCGCACAAGCGGUGGAGCAUGUGGUUUAAUUCGAUGCAACGCGAAGAACCUUACCUACCCUUGACAUCCUAAGAACUUGCCGGAGACGGCUUGGUGCCUUCGGGAACUUAGAGACAGGUGCUGCAUGGCUGUCGU
rnacentral:rRNA from 1 species